UCUGGAGGAAAGAGAAUGAACCAGCACUCAAGCCCUGGAGUCUGCACCCCAACUCGUCUCCUCCAAGUGGGGAUCCAGAUACACCAAGCAGUAAGUCCCACUUCAGCCAGGCUUUCUAGAAAGCACUGCUGCUCCAAACUGGAGCUCAAUUUCAGCUUAGGCUUCCUCUCAGUCAGCUGAGAGGAAGCUCCUUGUCUGGGUGCUCUGAGGGCCUGUGAACCGCUCCCAAAACCUUGUUUUCUCUCCCAGACAAUGAUACCCACCAUGAAGAAGAGAAGCAAAUAGGAUUGUGGCCCCUGGAGCCCAGCAUCUAGUGCCGCUGAAUAGAGGGUUGCUUGAGUGGGGGUCACUUCGCCCUGAGAGACCAAACUGCUCCCCACCUCCCCCCAACCCUAAAGAGAAAGAAGGAAAACCCUCUCGAAGCCUCUUGCCAUUUCCUGCACCCGAGCUGUGCCUGAACACAGCUGGGGCCAGUAGCUGAUAGUUCCGGGAAGGGCAGGCAGGGAAGAGCUGCAGCUUCUGCCCACAGUGGGGCCCAGAACAGCCAAGAACCAAGAAGGAGGCCGAGGUGAGAAGAUGAGAGGCCAACCCUGGCCAGGACCAGCCGGUUGUCAGAGGUGAAAAGAAGAACAGACAAAGAGCACUGUUCCUGGGAGGGGGUGGCCAAGGGACACCAAGGGAUGGAAGACAGUCAGGCUCUUGAGUGGCUGGGCAGGUUCCCGAGAGGCUGAGGAAAAGGAAGGUAAGGCAACAAGACUCUCCAGACCUUCUUCACCCAAACCCGAGGAGGAGGAGGAAAUGUCAGGAUAGUGGGCUGCAUUUCCUCCCAGGCUGAGGGUGGGUCUCCCAAGGACCUCCUCCACCCUAGCAGGGGCCCCUUAUUCAGAGACACCCUUCGCCCUCCAAGUCAGCCCCGGCGCCAGAGCCCCAUCCGGUCCGGUCGGGCCUCUUCCCCAGACCCUCUUCCGCCAUUCCUCUGCCUCAAGCAGGAGGAAAAAAGUUUGGGAACAAAAGUUAGCUUAUGCUUUGGACCGUCCCCCUCCUUCCACCAGCACUUGUAGUCACUCCUUUCCUGGGCAGAGAGCCAGCAGCCUGGAGAAGGCUGGGGUCAAAGAGGGUAUCACAGCUUUGCCCCUGCCCCCUCCCCAUCUCCUGUCACUCCAUCAGUCUGGGCUGAACUGUCCAAUAGUCUGGGGUCCCCACUAGCCUGCAAGACAGGCCCCUCUGGGUGGGGGUGGCCCUCUAGACUUGGGAUACCCACAGCCCAGCCCAAGGGUCUACAGGGGAACCCUGGCCACUCAGUGCAAAGAGGCCAGCUGAGGGCCGGGGAAAGGAGGACUGUUUUGGACCCACCUCUGUCUCACUAGGGGGAGGGUAGAAAGGACCCUGGGAGCCUGGAGGCUGAGACUGCAAGAGAUCCUGAUGUUUCCCUUUCAGAAUAGGAUAGGCUGAGCCCUAUUCAAGGACACCUGAAGCCUCCUGUGGAAGUGGAGCCCUGUCCACCCGGCAAAAGGUUACAGAGACCUCAAGGUCAUCCUGUAAAUCUGUUGAAAUCAAGUGCUUGCCAAGUUGGGGAGACUUUCUUUGGAAAGUCUGAAUGUAGCCCAAGCAGUUAGCUUGAAGCCCUGACUCAAAUCCUUCUGGCUCUAUAGAACAGCCCAGAAAGGUGCCUUUGGAGAGUGGAACGCUCUUCAGUGCCUAUUCCCCUCCCAACACACGUGUAAAUGAAUGCAUAAGUGGGAAGACACCCUAGGGCAGCCCAGAUCUCCUCUCUGGGGAACAUUCUUGCUGCUCCUGGAUUAGGGACAUCAUACCUCUUCACGUGUUGCAAGGGUGAGACUAGUUCUGAGUCUGCUUCCCCACCCAUCCUCCACUCCUCCAGCUAAGCGAGGAGCAGUAACUGCCGUGAGUCGGGUGGUUUAAUGUCGUUGUGUUCAGAAAUCCAGGCCCAACAACAUGAAACUACCUAAUUCACUCAGCAGUUCCAGUUCACGCUCCAGGUCAAGGGCUCACUGGGGGCAGGCCCCUGCAGCCAUUUUUGUGGGCCCAAAGGGCUGGCCAGCUAACUUCCUUUUUCUCCACCUCUUCCCAAACAGAACACAGCUGCUAGUAAACAACAAGUCCAGAGAACUGGAGGCAGGACUCCAGGCAAAACCUCUGGAGCAGGUUCUGGCAGCUCAGAUUCCAGGAACUUUUGUUCCCUCUCAGGGGCUCUAGUCAGAGGGGACCCUGGGCCCAGCCUGGGCAGGGCUGUGCCGAUAUACCUGCUUGGUCACUGCCUCUCAGACUCUGUCGCUGAAGCUGGAGGUCUCCACAGCCAAAAAAAUUUCUCUCAACUUCAAACUGCUAUCAUGAUGAAACCGGGAUACUCGCUCCUUCCUUCUGGACCUUCAGCCUGGACCCUUCUCUCCCCGGUCCCCACCGAUGUUCCCUGCUGCCACUUCCGUCCCUCCGGACCCCGCACCCUCACAGGUGCCCGGGCGCACACGCUGCAAUCGGCGGCGGCC